rnacentral:tRNA from 1 species
ACGCCUGUAGCUCAGCUGGAUAGAGCAUCGGAUUUCUAAUCCGACGGUCGGGGGUUCAAAUCCCUCCAGGCGUG